CUUUUCGUAUCAAGAACAGAAGAUCUUCAGCAGAGAUUACUCUUGCUCCCCUCAGCUGGGAAACUUCAGCAGCUUGCUGCAACUAACAAAGGAAAUUAACUAACUGAGUGUG